rnacentral:rRNA from 1 species
UACGAAGGGGGCGAGCGUUGUUCGGAAUCACUGGGCGUAAAGGGCGCGUAGGCGGCCCUCUUAGUCGCGUGUGAAAGCCCCGGGCUCAACCUGGGAACGGCGCGCGAAACGGGAGGGCUGGAGUUCGGGAGAGGAGAGUGGAAUUCCCAGUGUAGAGGUGAAAUUCGUAGAUAUUGGGAAGAACACCCGUGGCGAAGGCGGCUCUCUGGGACGGUACUGACGCUGAGACGCGAAAGCGUGGGGAGCGAACAGG